rnacentral:rRNA from 1 species
AAACUUACCAGGUCAAGACAUGGGCGUGAUUGACAGGCUAAUGACUUUUCUCGAUUCCAUGGAUGGUGGUGCAUGGUCGCACUUAGUUGGUGCAGUGAUUUGUCAGGUUUAUUCCGGUAACGAACGAGACCUCGGCCUUGUAAAUAGCUAUGCUGCUUACAGGGACAUUGGCGGCUACGCCAAGGAAGCUCGAGGCAAUUGCAGAUCUGGAAUGCCCUUAGAUGUCCUGGGUCGCACGCGUGCUACAAUGACGCCACGAACGAGCUUGCGUGAUGAAAGUUACGCAUAAUCAGCAGUCGGCGUCUUAAGGGAUAGUCUCUUGUAACUGUGGGACUCCAACUAGGAAUGUCUCGUAAGCACAAGUCAACAUCUUGUGUUGAUUACGUCCCUGCUCUUUGUACACACCGCCCGUCGCUCCUACCGAUCGAGUGUUUAGGUGAAUUUGAUGGACGUAAGGAAGUCAAAUAAACCUGAGCACUAGAGAAGAGAAGUCGAUAUGU